UACGUAGGGUGCGAGCGUUGUCCGGAAUUACUGGGCGUAAAGAGCUCGUAGGUGGUUUGUCGCGUUGUUCGUGAAAUCUCACGGCUUAACUGUGAGCGUGCGGGCGAUACGGGCAGACUAGAGUACUGCAGGGGAGACUGGAAUUCCUGGUGUAGCGGUGGAAUGCGCAGAUAUCAGGAGGAACACCGGUGGCGAAGGCGGGUCUCUGGGCAGUAACUGACGCUGAGGAGCGAAAGCGUGGGGAGCAAACGGG
rnacentral:rRNA from 1 species